GAAAUGCGAUAAGUAAUGUGAAUUGCAGAAUUCAGUGAAUCAUCGAAUCUUUGAACGCACCUUGCGCUCCUUGGUAUUCUUUGGAGCAUGCCUGUUUGAGUAUCAUUAAAUCUUCAAAGUAAAUCUUUUGUUAACUCAAUUGGUUUCUACUUUGGUAUUGGAGGUCUUUGCAGCUUCACACCUGCUCCUCUUUGUUCAUUAGCUGGAUCUCAGUGUUAUGCUUGGUUCCACUCGGCGUGAUAAGUUAUCUAUCGCUGAGGACACUGUAAAAGGUGGCCAAGGUAAAUGCAGAUGAACCGCUUCUAAUAGUCCAUUGACUUGGACAAUACUUUUAUGAUCUGAUCUCAAAUCAGGUAGGACUACCCGCUGAACUUAAGC
rnacentral:misc_RNA from 1 species